ACCUCCACCCAUAUUACCUGAUCUCUUAUGAUCCUGGGAAGCUAAAGCAAGCUUGGGCCUGAUUAGUACUUAGAUGGGAAAGCCACCUGAAAAAACGGAUGCUGUAGGUU
rnacentral:rRNA from 1 species